rnacentral:rRNA from 1 species
GACGAACCGUGCGAACGUUGUUCGGAAUCACUGGGCUUAAAGGGCGCUUAGGCGGGCUGUCAAGUCUGGGGUGAAAUGCCGCGGCUCAACCGUGGAACUGCCUCAGAUACUGACGGCCUCGAGGGAGGUAGGGGCGUGCGGAACUGUAGGUGGAGCGGUGAAAUGCGUUGAUAUCUACAGGAACUCCGGUGGCGAAAGCGGCGCGCUGGACCUCUUCUGACGCUGAGGCGCGAAAGCUAGGGGAGCAAACGGG